GACGAACGCUGGCGGCGUGCUUAACACAUGCAAGUCGAACGGAAAGGCCCUGCUUUUGUGGGGUGCUCGAGUGGCGAACGGGUGAGUAACACGUGAGUAACCUGCCCUUGACUUUGGGAUAACUUCAGGAAACUGCGGCUAAUACCGGAUAGGAGCUCCUGCUGCAUGGUGGGGGUUGGAAAGUUUCGGCGGUUGGGGAUGGACUCGCGGCUUAUCAGCUUGUUGGUGGGGUAGUGGCUUACCAAGGCUUUGACGGGUAGCCGGCCUGAGAGGGUGACCGGCGACAUUGGGACUGAGAUACGGCGCAGACUGGUACGGGAGGCAGUAGUGGGGAAUAUUGCACAAUGGGCGGAAGCCUGAUGAAGCAACGCCGCGUGCGGGAUGACGGCCUUCGGGUUGUAAACCGCUUUCGCCUGUGACGAAGCGUGAGUGACGGUAAUGGGUAAAGAAGCACCGGCUAACUACGUG
rnacentral:rRNA from 1 species